UGGGGAAUAUUGCNUUNAUGGGGGGAACCCUGACGCAGCCAUGCCGCGUGAAUGAAGAAGGCCUUAGGGUUGUAAAGUUCUUUCGGUAUUGAGGAAGGUUGAUGUGUUAAUAGCACAUCAAAUUGACGUUAAAUACAGAAGAAGCACCGGCUAACUCCGUGCCAGCAGCCGCGGUAAUACGGAGGGUGCGAGCGUUAAUCGGAAUAACUGGGCGUAAAGGGCACGCAGGCGGUUAUUUAAGUGAGGUGUGAAAGCCCCGGGCUUAACCUGGGAAUUGCAUUUCAGACUGGGUAACUAGAGUACUUUAGGGAGGGGUAGAAUUCCACGUGUAGCGGUGAAAUGCGUAGAGAUGUGGAGGAAUACCGAAGGCGAAGGCAGCCCCUUGGGAAUGUACUGACGCUCAUGUGCGAAAGCGUGGGGAGCAAACAGGAUUAGAUACCCUGGUAGUCCACGCUGUAAACGCUGUCGAUUUGGGGGUUGGGGUUUAACUCUGGCGCCCGUAGCUAACGUGAUAAAUCGACCGCCUGGGGGAGUACGGCCGCAAGGUUA
rnacentral:rRNA from 1 species